ACGAACGCUGGCGGCAUGCCUAACCCAUGCAAGUCGAACGAGACCUUCGGGUCUAGUGGCGCACGGGUGCGUAACGCGUGGGAACCUGCCCUUAGGUUCGGAGUAACUCCCCGAAAGGGGUGCUAAUACCGGAUAAUGUCUUCGGACCAAAGAUUUAUCGCCUUUGGAUGGGCCCGCGUUGGAUUAGCUAGUUGGUAGGGUAAAAGCCUACCAAGGCGACGAUCCAUAGCUGGUCUGAGAGGAUGAUCAGCCACACUGGGACUGAGACACGGCCCAGACUCCUACGGGAGGCAGCAGUGGGGAAUAUUGGACAAUGGGCGAAAGCCUGAUCCAGCAAUGCCGCGUGAGUGAUGAAGGCCUUAGGGUUGUAAAGCUCUUUUACCCGGGAUGAUAAUGACAGUACCGGGAGAAUAAGCUCCGGCUAACUCCGUG
rnacentral:rRNA from 1 species